rnacentral:rRNA from 1 species
UACGAAGGGGGCUAGCGUUGCUCGGAAUUACUGGGCGUAAAGCGCACGUAGGUGGCGACGUAAGUCGGGUGUGAAAGCCCCGGGCUCAACCUGGGAAUUGCAUUCGAGACUGCAUUGCUGGAGUACGGAAGAGGAAGGCGGAAUUCCCGGUGUAGCGGUGAAAUGCGUAGAUAUCGGGAGGAACAUCAGUGGCGAAGGCGGCCUUCUGGUCCAGUACUGACACUCAAGUGCGAAAGCGUGGGGAGCAAACAGG